rnacentral:rRNA from 1 species
CUACGGGCGGCAGCAGUGAGGAAUAUUGCACAGUGGGGGGGAACCCUGAUGCAGCAACGCCGCGUGGAGGAUGACGCAUUUCGGUGUGUAAACUCCUUUUAUAUGUCAAGAAAAUGACGGUAGCAUAUGAAUAAGCACCGGCUAACUCCGUGCCAGCAGCCGCGGUAAUACGGAGGGUGCAAGCAUUACUCGGAAUCACUGGGCGUAAAGGACGCGUAGGCGGGUUGGAAAGUCAGGUGUGAAAUCCUACAGCUUAACUGUAGAACUGCACUUGAAACUUCUAAUCUAGAGUAUGGGAGGGGGAGAUGGAAUUAGUGGUGUAGGGGUAAAAUCCGUAGAUAUCACUAGGAAUACCUAAAGCGAAGGCGAUCUCCUGGAACAUUACUGACGCUAAGGCGUGAAAGCGUGGGGAGCAAACAGGAUUAGAUACCCCCGUAGUC